UACCCAGACUCCUACGGGAGGCAGCAGUGGGGAAUAUUGGGCAAUGGAGGCAACUCUUACCCAGCAAUGCCGCGUGAAUGAAGAAGGUCUUCGGAUUGUAAAGUUCUUUAAUUGGGGACGAAAAAAAUGACGGUACCCAAGGAAUAAGCCCCGGCUAACUACGUGCCAGCAGCCGCGGUAAUACGUAGGGGGCAAGCGUUAUCCGGAUUUACUGGGUGUAAAGGGAGCGUAGACGGCGAUGCAAGUCUGAAGUGAGAGGCGGGGGCCCAACCCCCGGACUGCUUUGGAAACUGUAUGGCUGGAGUGCAGGAGAGGUAAGUGGAAUUCCUAGUGUAGCGGUGAAAUGCGUAGAUAUUAGGAGGAACACCAGUGGCGAAGGCGGCUUACUGGACUGUAACUGACGUUGAGGCUCGAAAGCGUGGGGAGCAAACAGGAUUAGAUACCCUAGUA
rnacentral:rRNA from 1 species